rnacentral:rRNA from 1 species
UACCAGCACCCCGAGUGGUCGGGACGAUUAUUGGGCCUAAAGCAUCCGUAGCCGGUUCUGCAAGUCCCCCGUUAAAUCCAGCUGCUCAACAGAUGGGCCGCGGAGGAUACUACAGAGCUAGGAGGCAGGAGAGGCAAGCGGUACUCAGUGGGUGGGGGUAAAAUCCGUUGAUCCAUUGAAGACCACCAGUGGCGAAGGCGGCUUGCCAGAAUGCGCUCGACGGUGAGGGAUGAAAGCUGGGGGAGCAAACCGG